UCAGGAUGAACGCUGGCGGCGUGCUUAACACAUGCAAGUCGAACGGAGUAUCAUGAACCUAGUGAUUGAUAACUAGUGGCGGACGGGUGAGUAACGCGUGGGUAACCUGCCUUAUACAGGGGGAUAACAGUCGGAAACGACUGCUAAUACCGCAUAAGCGCACGGAAUCGCAUGAUUCAGUGUGAAAAGAUUUAUCGGUAUAAGAUGGACCCGCGUCUGAUUAGCUAGUUGGUGAGGUAACGGCCCACCAAGGCGACGAUCAGUAGCCGGCCUGAGAGGGUGAACGGCCACAUUGGGACUGAGACACGGCCCAAACUCCUACGGGAGGCAGCAGUGGGGAAUAUUGCACAAUGGGGGAAACCCUGAUGCAAGCGACGCCGCGUGAGUGAAGAAGUAUUUCGGUAUGUAAAGCUCUAUCAGCAGGGAAGAAAAUGACGGUACCUGACUAAGAAGCCCCGGCUAACUACGUGCCAGCCGCUGC
rnacentral:rRNA from 1 species